rnacentral:rRNA from 1 species
AGUGAACGCUGGCGGUAGGCCUAACACAUGCAAGUCGAACGGCAGCACAGUAAGAGCUUGCUCUUACGGGUGGCGAGUGGCGGACGGGUGAGGAAUACAUCGGAAUCUACUUUUUCGUGGGGGAUAACGUAGGGAAACUUACGCUAAUACCGCAUACGACCUACGGGUGAAAGCAGGGGAUCUUCGGACCUUGCGCGAUUGAAUGAGCCGAGGUCGGAUUAGCUAGUUGGCGGGGUAAAGGCCCACCAAGGCAACGAUCCGUAGCUGGUCUGAGAGGAUGAUCAGCCACACUGGAACUGAGACACGGUCCAGACUCCUACGGGAGGCAGCAGUGGGGAAUAUUGGACAAUGGGCGCAAGCCUGAUCCAGCCAUACCGCGUGGGUGAAGAAGGCCUUCGGGUUGUAAAGCCCUUUUGUUGGGAAAGAAAAGCAGCAGGUUAAUACCCCGCUGUUCUGACGGUACCCAAAGAAUAAGCACCGGCUAACUUCGUG